rnacentral:miRNA from 1 species
CCAGGCUCUUUCCUCUACGCUCAUAGGAGCGUAGAGGAAAGAGCCUGGGA